GCAAGAUGGUGUCAGGGGUGGGACAUUGUGUAUAGCAAGGCAAGAUGGUGUCAAUUUAGGCUUAUAAUGUAAAGCUGUGGCAGGUUCCCAAGUACAAACCCACUAAGGUACAUGUUGCGGCUACUUUGUGGUGUCUGGGUGGGAAGUGUGGCUGGUUGCUAACGGCUGGUAUGGCUAGCAGAGGUGGAGCAGAUGGUGUUGAUGUUGAAGGGGUUGUCUAUUCUGAGACAAUUUGCAAUUGGUCUUUAUUUUGCCUUAUUUGCAGUUUAUAAGAUUAUUAUGCAUGUUAUAAUUUGGUAUAGAAUGGCAGUGGAUCAGUUUCAUCCUACACAGAGAAUUUCUAGUCAUUUCUCCCAUGAUAGAUGUACAGGGGAUACAGCAUUACCCUGUGUAGUAAGUGAACCGUAUGGGUUUUAUGAACAAACAUAACGGCUGGGAGGCGGGUACUGAUAACGAGUGUUUGUAUAACGAAGUGGUUUUCCAUGACGCCCGGCGCUAAUGAACUCGCAGCUUCUGCCUGGGAUAGGGCUGCUAAUCUGCUGCUUUCCUCUGCUUCCCCAUCAAUGGGAUCAUACACGGGAUCUUACCGGAAGUUUCUAUUGAUACCAAGAUGCCUCAGGGCAGCAGCCCUGGAAACCCAGUCUGACACCACGUUACGCCGCUGUUGCCCGCAGUAACAUACCCCAGCAACACUGCAUCAGCCUGCAGGGAGCAACAGUCUGGGAAAUUUCCAUUUACAUAACAAGGAGGUAGAACACAGACUCCAAUUCAAACAGGACUGAGAUCCUUACUGUGCAUACGCUGGGGACGGGAGAAUAAGGAGACAUGGCCAGGUUGUGGCCCCAGCAAUGUACCCAGGGCCGGUUCAUCUUACAGAAAGGCCACACCGACCUAGGCCAGAAGGUUAGUGAUUCUGCUCACUGCCAUGUUACAUACCGGCAAAUCCUACCC